AAAACCCCACACGCUCUCACCCAAUCCAUGGCGCCACCGCGCUAAACCCCCCCAACCUCCGCUCCGCCCUCCGCUCCCCGCCUCCAUGGCGCUCUCCGAGCUCCCGCUCCACCACUCCUUCCGCCUCUCCUCCAGGCCCCACCUCCACCGCCUUCUCCCGCUCCGCCUCCUCUACUCCUCCCGCCACGCCUCCUCCUCCUCCUCCGCCGCCUCGGCCUCCUCCCCCUCUUCGUCCAGCGGCAACCGCGCGGCCCCACCCGCCCCCAGUACCGGCGCGCCGUGGCUGCAGAAGUGGGCGCCGUCCGACCCCUCCCAGCGCGCCCCCGCUCCCGCCCCGUCCCCCACCACCUCCAUCGACCGCAUCGUCCACCGCCUCCGUAACCUCGGCCUCACCUCCGACGACGACGAGCCCUCAGCCUCCGCUUCCACGGCGACCGCGCCCCCCGACGGCACUGAGCGCCUCGGCGACCUGCUCGACCGCAGCUGGGCGCGGCCCGACCGCCAGUUCGCGGCCGCCAGCUUCGACGACGCGGUCCUCCCGUGGGAGAGGGACGAGGAGGCCGCGGCGGGGAGCAGGGACGAGGAGGAUGAGGCCAAGAGGAGGCGGGUCAAGGCGCCCACGCUGGCCGAGCUCACGAUCGAGGACGAGGAGCUGCGGCGGCUGCGCAGGCUGGGGAUGACUCUCCGCGACCGCAUCACCGUGCCCAAGGCCGGGGUCACCACGGCCAUCACGGAGAAGAUCCAUGACGCGUGGAGGAAGUCGGAGCUGGUCCGCCUCAAGUUCCACGAGGACCUCGCGCACGACAUGAAGACUGCUCAUGAGCUCGUUGAGCGACGCACCGGCGGAUUGAUCAUAUGGAGAUCUGGAAGUGUCAUGGUGGUUUACCGAGGGAGCAAUUACAAAAGGUCUCUGAAAUCUCAAACUCUGAAUGGUGCCUCAACACCAGUAAAGGGGGAAGAUGGUACAUUGUUCAUCCCAGAUGCCUCCAGCCCUGCUGAGAAUGACAGUCAGGGGAAGGAUUUGGCUGCGCAACGUGCAGACGUGUCCCAAUUGAACAUGCAGAAUACUGAGGACAUGACAGAGGAAGAGCAGGAAUUCAAUCAAAUGCUUGAUGAGUUGGGUCCUCGAUUUGUUGAUUGGUGGGGAACAGGUAUCUUGCCAGUUGAUGCUGACUUGCUGCCUCAAACGAUCCCUGGGUAUAAAACACCUCAUAGAGUUCUUCCAACUGGAAUGCGUUCAACACUUACCAAUGCAGAGCUGACUAACUUGCGAAAGUUAGCAAGGAACCUUCCAUGCCAUUUUGCUCUAGGGAGAAACCGGAAUCAUCAAGGCUUGGCAGCGGCAAUUGUUAAGCUCUGGGAGAAGAGUUUGGUGGUGAAAAUAGCUGUCAAACGUGGAAUACAGAACACAAAUAAUAAGCUAAUGGCAGAAGAAAUAAAGAAUCUAACAGGGGGUACCCUGCUUCUUCGAAAUAAAUUUUACAUUGUAAUAUAUCGUGGAAAAGACUUCCUCCCAACAUCUGUUGCAGCUGUGUUGGCUGAAAGAGAGGAGUUGACAAAGGAUAUCCAGAAUAUGGAGGAGCAGAGAAGAAACAUUUUGAUUGCACAACCUCCAGAUGAUGGUUUAGAUGGGCAUGCUCUUGUGGGUACUCUUACUGAAUUUCAGGAGGCCCAAGCUCGUUGGGGGAGAGAAGUAAGUGCUAAGGAGCAAGAAGAAAUGAAAGAAGCAUCUUCCAGAUCAGAAAAGCAAAAGCUUUACAGGAAACUCGAACACAAGCUUUCCAUUGCUCAGGCAAAAAUACAUAGAGCAGAACGCUUGCUAUCAAAGAUUGAAGCUUCUAUGGUACUCGCCAAUCCAUGUGAUGAUCAGGAAAUGAUUACAGAUGAGGAAAAGUCUGUUUUCCGUAGGAUUGGUCUACGGCUUAAGUCAUAUUUGCCACUUGGAGUUCGUGGUGUUUUUGAUGGUGUCAUUGAAAAUAUGCACUUGCAUUGGAAGCACAGGGAAGUUGUCAAAUUAAUUUCAAAGCAGAAGACCUUGUCUUUUGUUCAGGAGACAUCACAGCUUCUAGAGUAUGAAAGUGGCGGUAUACUAGUUGCAAUUGAAAGAGUUCCCAAGGGUUAUGCACUUAUAUUUUACCGUGGAAAGAACUAUAGGAGGCCUAUUAACAUAAGGCCUAGAAAUCUCUUAACAAAAGCUAAGGCAUUGAAACGUGCAGUUGCAAUGCAACGUCAUGAGGCCCUCAGUCAGCAUAUAGAUCAACUGGAAAGCAAUAUCAAGCAGAUGAAGCUGGAUUUGGGUAUCGAGGACUAUGAGGAACAAGAGGAGGAUAGCUCAGAUUCAGAAAAUGAAGAUGGGACAGACGUUACCUCUGCAAGCUACGAUGAGGACCAAGACAAUUUUGAUGAAUCAGCUGAUGAAUAUGAUGAUUACGAUGAUGAUGAAGAUGGGGAGGUUGACCGCUAGUAGUACGGAAUUGUUUCUUGUGAUUUGCAGUUCUGAAGUAAUGAUUUUCUGUAUGUGAUACUGCUGUCCUUCGGACAUCCGUGGUAAGGGAAACACAGUUGCUUCUUCAGAGCACUAUUAAGUUUGUGCAACAUACGCCAGAGCCAUAUGUGGAGCCAAGUUUUACGGAUGGCCCUUGAUGACUGGUACCACAGCUCCUGCAUUUGAUGUAUGUACUCCAUUGCUUCGUUCUUGGCAGAAUUGGUGUUGAGAUCCACCUUAGAAGUGCUGCGACUGAGCUGGGAAAUUUCAUGCACCAUGUGAUUUAUGAGAUCUAUGCUCACAGCAUCAUCUUUUCUCUCUCGUUUCCUUUUGCCUUUCUUCUGUUGUGACUACAUCUUAGAGGGCUCGGCGUAGGAGGUAUUUUUCUUUCUCCAAUUUCUCUCCAGAAGAUAUACCUGGACUGCUCGACUGGACACAAGCAUUGUGUAACUCAGUCCGGCUGAAACCAAAUACACUAGAACAGCUUAAAUUUUGAUCAAGAAGUGGCUGAAGGGUGUUCCACUGUUCAAACU